CCAUCUUCUCCAUGGCGUGGUGGGCUUGCAGGGGAAGUGUCAGUACCCGCACCUCCUCCUCUUCUUCCUGGGGCACUGGGCAUGUUUGCUCUUCUUCAGCUUUGGGUGGGUUGGCGAUUACCCGUUUGCCCUUCUCUUCUAGCAGGGGUCCCAGUUCAGCCAGUUCCACCGUGUCAGCUUCCCUGUUACUGGCAGGAGCCCCAUUCCCCUGUGCCACCACAGAUCCUUUGUGGGAAGACAUCUGGCUGGUACCUCAAUACCCUGCAGCUUCAGCUUGGGGAAAGGUUGGGGUCUCUCAGCCCCAGGGGGCAGAGAUCUCCCUCUGAUGGUAGACAAGCCGGGCAGGCGGGCUCUGCUGGGGGCCGCGGUCCCCCGCGCUACAUCCCGCGGCGCUGGAGGCGGCCUGCGGCCGAGCGGCCCCGAUCUUCAGCGCCCUCCCCGCGCCGGAAGGGGCGCGCGACCUCCCGCGUCACCUCCGCAGCCGCGUCACCUCCUCGCGGGCUCUGCCUGGGCCCU
rnacentral:lncRNA from 1 species